rnacentral:snoRNA from 1 species
AGGAUCAAUGAUGAGUUCUGUGGAGGUGUCUGAAUCACUAUAUUUGAUUAAGCCCUCAGUUUGUCAUUCUGAGGUCCAU